GCGCAGGUAGCUCAGUCGGUGAGAGCGCCGCUCUUAUAAGGCGGAUGUCGCGAGUUCAAUCCUCGCCCUGCGCA
rnacentral:tRNA from 2 species